CCUACGGGUGGCAGCAGUGGGGAAUUUUGGACAAUGGGGGAAACCCUGAUCCAGCCAUGCCGCGUGCGGGAAGAAGGCCUUCGGGUUGUAAACCGCUUUCAGCCGGAAAGAAAUCGCACGGACCAAUACUCUGUGUGGAUUACGGUACCGGAAGAAGAAGCACCGGCUAACUACGUGCCAGCAGCCGCGGUAAUACGUACGGUGCGAGCGUUAAUCGAGCGUACGGAGGGUAAAGCGUGCGCCGGCGGUGAAAUCCCCGGGCUUAACCUGGGAACUGCGUUUGGAACUGGGAGACUAGAGUGUGUCAGAGGGAGGUGGAAUUCCGCGUGUAGCAGUGAAAUGCGUAGAUAUGCGGAGGAACACCGAUGGCGAAGGCAGCCUCCUGGGAUAACACUGACGCUCAUGCACGAAAGCGUGGGGAGCAAACAGGAUUAGAUACCCCUGUAGUC
rnacentral:rRNA from 1 species